rnacentral:rRNA from 1 species
GACGAACGCUGGCGGCGUGCUUAACACAUGCAAGUCGAACGGUAAGGCCCUUCGGGGUACACGAGUGGCGAACGGGUGAGUAACACGUGGGUGAUCUGCCCUGCACUUCGGGAUAAGCCUGGGAAACUGGGUCUAAUACCGGAUAGGACCACUGCCUGCAUGGGUGGUGGUGGAAAGCUUUUGCGGUGUGGGAUGGGCCCGCGGCCUAUCAGCUUGUUGGUGGGGUGAUGGCCUACCAAGGCGACGACGGGUAGCCGGCCCGAGAGGGUGACCGACCACACUGGGACUGAGAUACGGCCCAGACUCCUACGGGAGGCAGCAGUGGGGAAUAUUGCACAAUGGGCGCAAGCCUGAUGCAGCGACGCCGCGUGAGGGAUGACGGCCUUCGGGUUGUAAACCUCUUUCAGCACCGACGAAGCGCAAGUGACGGUAGGUGCAGAAGAAGGACCGGCCAACUACGUGCCAGCCGCCGCGGUAA